GUGUGACUUGCCCCGAUCAGAAUCAUCCUUAUCAGCAUGAUAAGGUUUAAGGAAGCUUAUGUGAAACACCGGAUGACAUUCCAAGUGUGGUGGCAGCUUUACUCGAUAGGCCAACUUGCCAAUGCACUUCUCCAUGGGGAAGGGUCCCUCAUAUCUCCGCAGCAACCCCUUAUGGACUCUCCCAUAGUUGCGCACUGUCUGAGGGAUCAAUUUCACAAUGACCAUGUCUCCCUCUUCGAACUCCAAGUGCCUCCUCUUAGUGUCUGCCCAUUUCUUCAUCUUGUUGGAUGCCUUUGCCAAGGAUGCUUUAGCUAACUCAACUUUCUCCUUCCAAGCCUUGGCAAAUUUGAAAGAACUUGGGCUCUUACCAGAAUAUAGCACUAUCGUAGUGUGUGGUGCAAGCGACUAUUGUCCUGUAGCAAGCUCGAAUGGACUUGCUCCCGUAGACUCACUCUUCUGCAAAUUAUAUGAGAACUGGGCCACAUCAAGCAAC
rnacentral:misc_RNA from 1 species